GCCCGGUUAGCUCAGCUGGUUAGAGCGUCGUACUAAUAUCGUCUGAAAGGACCAUAUUUGGUCAUGCGAAGGUCAACAGUUCAAUCCUGUUACUGGGCA